GGUUAAGUUAUGAAGGGCGCACGGUGGAUGCCUUGGCACUAGGAGCCGACGAAGGACGGGACUAACACCGAUAUGCUUUGGGGAGCUGUAAGUGAGCUUUGAUCCAGAGAUUUCCGAAUGGGGGAACCCAUUGUUCGUAAUGGAACAAUAUCCUUACUUGAAUACAUAGAGUAUGGAAGGCAGACCCAGGGAACUGAAACAUCUAAGUACCUGGAGGAAGAGAAAGCAAUUGCGAUUCCCUGAGUAGCGGCGAGCGAAACGGGAUAUAGCCCAAACCAAGAGGCUUGCCUCUUGGGGUUGUAGGACACUCUAUACGGAGUUACAAAGGAAUGAAGUAGACGAAGAAGUCUGGAAAGGCUCGUCAAAGAAGGUAACAACCCUGUAGUUGAAACUUCAUUCCCUCUUGAGUGGAUCCUGAGUACGGCGGGACACGUGAAAUCCCGUCGGAAGCUGGGAGGACCAUCUCCCAAGGCUAAAUACUCCCUAGUGACCGAUAGUGAACCAGUACCGUGAGGGAAAGGUGAAAAGCACCCCGGAAGGGGAGUGAAAUAGAACCUGAAACCGUGUGCCUACAAGUAGUCAGAGCCCGUUAACGGGUGAUGGCGUGCCUUUUGUAGAAUGAACCGGCGAGUUACGAUCCCAUGCAAGGUUAAGUUGGUAUACGUUAAGUGGAAAAGGAUGUGGAGUUGCUUAGACAACCAGGAUGUUGGCUUAGAAGCAGCCACCAUUUAAAGAGUGCGUAAUAGCUCACUGGUCGAGUGACUCUGCGCCGAAAAUGUACCGGGGCUAAACGUAUCACCGAAGCUGUGGAUUGACACCUCWAGGUGUCAGUGGUAGGAGAGCGUUCUAAGGACUGCGAAGCUAGACCGUAAGGACUGGUGGAGUGYUUAGAAGUGAGAAUGCCGGUAUGAGUAGCGAAAGAUGGGUGAGAAUCCCAUCCACCGAAUGCCUAAGGUUUCCUGAGGAAGGCUCGUCCGCUCAGGGUUAGUCGGGACCUAAGUCGAGGCCGAUAGGCGUAGACGAUGGACAACAGGUUGAUAUUCCUGUACCACCUCUUUUCCGUUUGAGCAAUGGGGGGACGCAGGAGGAUAGGGUAAGCGCACUGCUGGAUAUGUGCGUCUAAGCAGUUAGGCUGAUGAUGAGGCAAAUCCCGUCAUCGYGAAGGCUGAGCUGUGAYAGCGAGCGAAUUAUAGUAGCGAAGUUCCUGAUUCCACACUGCCAAGAAAAGCCUCUAGCGAGGAAAAAGGUGCCCGUACCGCAAACCGACACAGGUAGGCGAGGAGAGAAUCCUAAGGUGAGCGAGAGAACUCUCGUUAAGGAACUCGGCAAAAUGACCCCGUAACUUCGGGAGAAGGGGUGCUCUGGUAGGGUGCAAGCCCGAGAGAGCCGCAGUGAAUAGGCCCAGGCGACUGUUUAGCAAAAACACAGGUCUCUGCGAAGCCGUAAGGCGAAGUAUAGGGGCUGACGCCUGCCCGGUGCUGGAAGGUUAAGAGGAGUGCUUAGCGCAAGCGAAGGUGCGAAUCGAAGCCCCAGUAAACGGCGGCCGUAACUAUAACGGUCCUAAGGUAGCGAAAUUCCUUGUCGGGUAAGUUCCGACCCGCACGAAAGGCGUAACGAUCUGGGCACUGUCUCAACGAGAGACUCGGUGAAAUUAUAGUACCUGUGAAGAUGCAGGUUACCCGCGACAGGACGGAAAGACCCCGUGGAGCUUUACUGUAGCCUGAUAUUGAAUUUUGGUACAGCUUGUACAGGAUAGGUAGGAGCCUUGGAAACCGGAGCRCWAGCUUCGGUGGAGGCAUCGGUGGGAUACUACCCUGGCUGUAUUGAAAUUCUAACCCGCGCCCCUUAUCGGGGUGGGAGACAGUGUCAGGUGGGCAGUUUGACUGGGGCGGUCGCCUCCUAAAGAGUAACGGAGGCGCCCAAAGGUUCCCUCAGAAUGGUUGGAAAUCAUUCGCAGAGUGUAAAGGCACAAGGGAGCUUGACUGCGAGACCUACAAGUCGAGCAGGGACGAAAGUCGGGCUUAGUGAUCCGGUGGUUCCGCAUGGAAGGGCCAUCGCUCAACGGAUAAAAGCUACCCCGGGGAUAACAGGCUUAUCUCCCCCAAGAGUCCACAUCGACGGGGAGGUUUGGCACCUCGAUGUCGGCUCAUCGCAUCCUGGGGCUGUAGUCGGUCCCAAGGGUUGGGCUGUUCGCCCAUUAAAGCGGUACGCGAGCUGGGUUCAGAACGUCGUGAGACAGUUCGGUCCCUAUCCGUCGUGGGCGCAGGAAAUUUGAGAGGAGCUGUCCUUAGUACGAGAGGACCGGGAUGGACGCACCGCUGGUGUACCAGUUGUCUUGCCAAAGGCAUCGCUGGGUAGCUAUGUGCGGAAGGGAUAAGUGCUGAAAGCAUCUAAGCAUGAAGCCCCCCUCGAGAUGAGAUUUCCCAUCACGUAAGUGAGUAAGAUCCCUAGAAGAUGACUAGGUAGAUAGGUCAGAGAUGGAAGCAUGGCGACAUGUGGAGUUGACUGAUACUAAUCGAUCGAGGACUUAACCACA
rnacentral:rRNA from 2 species